UAAAAUGUGUGAACCAUUCGUUGGUAAUAUAAAAUGUAAAAUGUACAAUCUAUCCAUUGAAAUAUGAGUGGAAGGACUAUUUAUCGUUAUAAAUAAUUGUAGUAAAUAUAACUUCUAGCGUGAGCUUUUGACAAGUGAAAAAUAAGUGUUGAGUGUGUGUGCUCAAAGUUACAAAAAAUUUAUUCAUUAAUCCAAUUUGGAGUUCACUCGUUGCGCUUGCACAUGGGGAGGCUUAUGGGGGUCCUGCUUCCACAUAUAGGGGUGGCUUAUGGAAGGUAUCAUAUGUUGAUCGCACUAUUGCUGGCUCUCGCAAAUCGAAAUUAUGUGGAGAGUAACGAAUGGCUUACUCCCGCACAUGGGUCAGCUUACGAGGGGUCUUGCUCCCGCACAUAAGGGGAGACUUACAGGAGGUAUGCUCCCUCAAAUGGAAUGUAUAUAAACUUAAUAAUAUUAUAUAUCAUCACAAAUGUCAUAAUAAAACUCAAAUAAGUAGUAAAAAAAUGGUAAUUGAGAUAUUAAAAUAACAGUAUUUGAGGUAUAUAUACCUGAUUCUUCAGUUGAUCCUGGUAAAAAGUCGUAGCUAAAGUUACAGUGGUAGCCAACACCCCAAUCCGCACAUUACUCACAAUACCAUGUGGUUGUUGCAUUAUUCAUAUUAUUAAGAUUCAAAAUGGAAAAGAAAUUAAAUGCGAAAUAAACUAGCUAUGUAGAACUCCCAGAAUAAUUUCUCUUCUUCUUCUUCUUCUAGUAAACUAUACAUACACAUAUACGCAUGCUACACCCUUCCGAGUAUCUCUCAUGGGGUGUUGAACACUCUCGGGUUUACACCCCACCCGUAUAUGUGCGUAUGUAUAUAUAUAUAUUACAUGUGCAUGUAGAAUUGAUUGAGAAGUGCAAUGGGUUUUAACCUCUUGUGUGUCCCUAUCAACUGCCACAACUCGGUUUUUUUUUUUGAUAAUGAAGAACUACAUAUGCUAUCCACUUAUAUCAAAACCUCAUCCGGUGGUUGACCAUAACAAUGUAAUCCUAGUGGCAGUUGAAAUGCAAGAUUAGCCAUGCAUAUAUAUACAUCAUGCAGAGAGAGUGUCUAACCUCCAGCUAGAGGUCUUUACCUAUUUGCUUUUUUUUUAAAAUAUAAAUAAAGUAUACAUGCAUGGGGUUGU
rnacentral:lncRNA from 1 species